GUCUCUUAGAAAUUAUUAAGAGUCAGGCCUGCCCAGUGAUUGCUUUUUAACGGCCGCGGUACCCUGACCGUGCAAAGGUAGCAUAAUCAUUUGCCUUUUAAUUGGAGGCUGGUAUGAACGGUUUGACGAGAGUAAAGCUGUCUCACACACAUUAAAUAAAAACUAAUUUAAAGGUGCAAAAGCCUUUAUAAAACAAAAAGACGAGAAGACCCUGUUGAGCUUUAAUUUUAAUGAGCAUCCACUUUAUAUUAAUAUAACUCAUUCGCUCAAUAAAAAUUUUAAUUGGGGCGAUUAAGGAACACAAUGAAGCUUCCUGACUUUAAUACUAAAUAUUUAUAAAUUAAAUCGAUCCAGCAAUGCUGAUCAACAAAACGAGUUACCACAGGGAUAACAGCAUAAUUCUUUUUCAGAGCUCAUAUCGAAAAAAGAGAUUGUGACCUCGAUGUUGGACUAGGGUAACCAGAAGGUGGAGCAGCUUUCUUGCUUGGUCUGUUCGACCAAUAAUUCCCU
rnacentral:rRNA from 1 species